rnacentral:rRNA from 1 species
UGCCAGACUCCUACGGGAGGCAGCAGUGGGGAAUAUUGCACAAUGGGGGAAACCCUGAUGCAGCGACGCCGCGUGAAGGACGAAGUAUUUCGGUACGUAAACUUCUAUCAGCAGGGAAGAAAAUGACGGUACCUGACCAAGAAGCCCCGGCUAACUACGUGCCAGCAGCCGCGGUAAUACGUAGGGGGCAAGCGUUAUCCGGAUUUACUGGGUGUAAAGGGAGCGUAGACGGUUACGCAAGUCUGGAGUGAAAGGCGGGGGCCCAACCCCCGGACUGCUUUGGAAACUGUAUAACUGGAGUGCAGGAGAGGUAAGUGGAAUUCCUAGUGUAGCGGUGAAAUGCGUAGAUAUUAGGAGGAACACCAGUGGCGAAGGCGGCUUACUGGACUGUAACUGACGUUGAGGCUCGAAAGCGUGGGGAGCAAACAGGAUUAGAUACCCCGGUAGU